UGGGGAAUUUUGCACAAUGGGGGAAACCCUGAUGCAGCGACGCCGCGUGAUUUAGAAGGCCUUCGGGUUGUAAAAAUCUUUUCUAUGGGAAGAAAAUGACAGUACCAUAGGAAUAAGGACCGGCUAAUUACGUGCCAGCAGCCGCGGUAAUACGUAAGGUCCGAGCGUUGUCCGGAAUCAUUGGGCGUAAAGGGUACGUAGGCGGCCCAGUAAGUUAGAAGUGAAAUAAUAUAGCUCAACUAUAUAAAGCUUUUAAAACUGCUAGGCUUGAGAGAUGGAAGGGAAAGUGGAAUUCCUAGUGUAGCGGUGAAAUGCGCAGAUAUUAGGAAGAAUACCGGUGGCGAAGGCGACUUUCUGGUCAUCAUCUGACGCUGAGGUACGAAAGCGUGGGUAGCAAACAGG
rnacentral:rRNA from 1 species